rnacentral:rRNA from 1 species
UACAGAGGGGGCCAGCGUUAUUCGGAAUUAUUGGGCGUAAAGAGCGUGUAGGCGGCCAUGCAGGUCCGUUGUGAAAACUCGAGGCUCAACCUCGAGACGUCGAUGGAAACCGCAUGGCUAGAGUCCGGAAGAGGAGAGUGGAAUUCCUGGUGUAGCGGUGAAAUGCGCAGAUAUCAGGAAGAACACCUAUGGCGAAGGCAGCUCUCUGGGACGGUACUGACGCUGAGACGCGAAAGCGUGGGGAGCAAACAGG